GACAAACGCUGGCGGCGUGCGUAACACAUGCAAGUCGAACGGACUGGGAGACCAGUCAGUGGCGGACGGGUGAGGAACACGUGAGUGACCUAGCUUCUUCAGGGGGAUACCCCGACGAAAGUCGGGCUAAUACCGCAUGAGCUCGAGAGAGGAAAGGCGAGAGCCGGGAGAAGGGGGGCUUGCGGUCGAUUAGCUAGAUGGUGGGGUAAGGGCCUACCAUGGCGAUGAUCGAUAGCUGGUCUGAGAGGAUGAUCAGCCACACUGGGAUUGAGAACGG
rnacentral:rRNA from 1 species